AGCCAAUGAUGCUUUAAAGAAUAAGAGUAGUGGACAGAAGUGAUUUCUGAGAACUCUAUUCUGAGGCU
ensembl:snoRNA